AGUGGCGAACGGGUGAGUAACACGUGAGUAACCUGCCCCUGACUCUGGGAUAAGCGUUGGAAACGACGUCUAAUACUGGAUAUGAUCACUGGCCGCAUGGUCUGGUGGUGGAAAGAUUUUUUGGUUGGGGAUGGACUCGCGGCCUAUCAGCUUGUUGGUGAGGUAAUGGCUCACCAAGGCGACGACGGGUAGCCGGCCUGAGAGGGUGACCGGCCACACUGGGACUGAGACACGGCCCAGACUCCUACGGGAGGCAGCAGUGGGGAAUAUUGCACAAUGGGCGAAAGCCUGAUGCAGCAACGCCGCGUGAGGGAUGACGGCCUUCGGGUUGUAAACCUCUUUUAGUAGGGAAGAAGCGAAAGUGACGGUACCUGCAGAAAAAGCACCGGCUAACUACGUGCCAGCAGCCGCGGUAAUACGUAGGGUGCAAGCGUUGUCCGGAAUUAUUGGGCGUAAAGAGCUCGUAGGCGGUUUGUCGCGUCUGCUGUGAAAUCCCGAGGCUCAACCUCGGGCUUGCAGUGGGUACGGGCAGACUAGAGUGCGGUAGGGGAGAUUGGAAUUCCUGGUGUAGCGGUGGAAUGCGCAGAUAUCAGGAGGAACACCGAUGGCGAAGGCAGAUCUCUGGGCCGUAACUGACGCUG
rnacentral:rRNA from 1 species